GAUGAAGAACGCAGCGAAAUGCGAUACGUAAUGUGAAUUGCAGAAUUCAGUGAAUCAUCGAAUCUUUGAACGCAUAUUGCGCUCUCUGGUAUUCCGGAGAGCAUGCUUGUUUGAGUAUCAGUAAACACCUCAACUUCCAUAUCUUUUUUGAAAUGGGAGUUGGACUUGAGUGAUCCCAACGCUUUUCCUCACCGAAAAGUGGCGGGUUACUUGAAAUGCAGGUGCAGCUGGACUUUUCUCUGAGCUAUAAGCAUAUCUAUUUAGUCUGCCUAAAAAACAGAUUAUUACCUUUGCUGCAGCUAACAUAAAGGAGAUUAGAUCUUGUGCUGACUGAUGCAGGAUUCACAAAGACAGGCUUCGGCCGACUUUGUAAACUCGAUCUCAAAUCAAGUAAGACUACCCGCUGAACUUAAGCAUAUCAAUAAGCGGAGGA
rnacentral:misc_RNA from 1 species